rnacentral:rRNA from 1 species
AACGUAACAAGGUCUCCGUUGGUGAACCAGCGGAGGGAUCAUUAUUAGAGAGUUAUUGAACUCAUAAACCCUUUGUGAACCUUACCGUCGUUGCCUCGGCGUGAGCUGCGGCUACCCUGUAACUACCCUGUAGCUGCCUACCCUGUAGUCGGCUACCCGGUAUUUACCCUGUAGCUUGCUCAAGGCCCGCCGAAGGACCACCAAACUCUGUUUAAUAAUGUGUAUCUCUGAAUAUUAUAACUGAAAUCAGUUAAAACUUUCAACAACGGAUCUCUUGGUUCUGGCAUCGAUGAAGAACGCAGCGAAAUGCGAUAAGUAAUGUGAAUUGCAGAAUUCAGUGAAUCAUCGAAUCUUUGAACGCACAUUGCGCCCAUUAGUAUUCUAGUGGGCAUGCCUAUUCGAGCGUCAUUUCAACCCUUAAGCCCCUGUUGCUUAGCGUUGGGAAUCUACGAUUACAGCGUAGUUCUUUAAAGUUAGUGGCGGAGUUGGGGCGUACUUCAAGCGUAGUAAUUUUUUCCUCGCUUUGGAAGUUGCCGUAGCUAUUAGCCGUAAAACCUUUACUGGCUAAGUGGAUGACCGGAGGAUCACGUGGAUGCGGAC